rnacentral:lncRNA from 1 species
UUCAUUUCUCUCCUCCAUUUUCUCUCUUGCACCAGAAUCCUCCAUAGAGCACCAUUGAUUGUUAUGAAUUGGGGUUUCUUCACUCAUCAUGUGCCAAAUGUGCGCCAAAGCCACAACUAGUUGAAAACAGGCACAUUGAUCACAUAUGCUUAUUCCGCCAGACAAAGUAGUUUUGGAUUUCCAAACCAAGCAUCUGCACAGGAUGCUUCCAAAAAUAAUUCAGCAUAGUGGCCUGAUUCCAAAUAGCCAACUACCUACGUCAUGAUUGAUGAUGGUUAGUGGCUUUUACUAUGUGUAACGAGUAUUCAACCGUGAACCUCCACUCUUUACAUAUCUUCCUCCACUUUAAGCAUUCAACUUGUUACACCGUGAUCCCUGGAACUUUGUGAAAUAACUUAGGAUGAUGCAUACCAUUGUCCGACUAAAAUUGCAUGACACCCUUUUCCAUACCAUGUACAUCCUUUCAUUGAUACUUUCACCCAUUAGUCUUUGAUAGGAUGUUGUAUAUCAUUAACUAACUAAGUUUUUUUUCCCUUUCCCCCCAUCCUACACAUAUAGUUUACAAGCUGACAUGAAUUUCCUGAUGCCAAAACACUAUGCAGAGCGAAAAAGGAGCGCGAAAGGCAUCCAGGGUAUGUUUUGACGCCUUCCUCUGUUCAGAUUUAUCGGCUCGAACCUUCUGCAAUCCAUCAUCAUCUUAUAACAGUUGAACCACAAUAUAGCAAUUUAAGUAUUUAACUUGAUAUCUUAUGCAAGAAAAGUACUAGCAUUUACAGUAAUAACGCUCAAUAACUAAAGGACGGUGGACUACAAGGAAUGGGACUAAAAUGUAGUAUUUUAUCAGCGAGAUCUUUGGCCUUAGGAUUACUCUAUGCUCACACAAUAACUGGAACAUCUAGUUAGAUUUAUGGUUAUCUGGCAUACUCUAUGGAUCAUUUGAAUUUCACAUGCUUUGGUAUGAUGUAGAUGGAGAGUUUAGUACCUUAGUCCUUUCCUGCUGUGUUUGACAUAAACAUGAUCACCAGUUUCUAUGUACAUGAGAAAUGGGAGGUUGGUGCGCCCCAAAUUUAUGAGCUUGUAUAGCUGACACAAUAUGAUCUUGCCAAAAGAAAAGCGAGCGAUGCUGGAGCAUUGAUGGUUUUAGUGGUGUGUGGCGUGCAUUUAUUUUAUGCACUACGGCACAAAAGUUUUUUAUUUGACUAAAACAAAUCUGCAAGUGUAAUUAUCUUGUAGAUCAUAGUGCAGUACUUGCCAAAACAGCUUAUCGCUUCUCUCAUCAAUGAUAUCAAUACAUUUAUCUUAUGCUGAAUUCAGUUAUAUGUACGCGUAUGAUGAUUCUGAAUUUUGCUAUUCUAUGCAAGCAAUUCCUGUUUUGUGAUCUUAGUUGCACAUUAAGGUGAUUCUUCUGAACAAUAAAUUGUCAACAGAAUUAUGAGAGGUAUGUUGUUCGGCAAAAACGAGCAGAAGGAAAGAAGGCCCUAAAAGAUUAUCUUCUGUAUGGAAAGUCCUCACCUCAUUUACAGGUGAAGUUUCUACUUCACUUUUGUCAUUUGAACUGUUUCCCAUCUUCAUUUUUCUUGGGCUUAAGCACCUGUUUUCUUUCUUCAAAGGGCUCAUUAAGGCAGCAGUGUGUGUAUGCAAGGAUGUAAGUUGGCAAAAGAAGAAAAAUCGUCAUUGUUUAUAACAUCUGAAAUGCGUAAUUUUCAUGUGUUCCCUCCAGGAUGGAAGCACAGGAAGCUUUGCUAAUUCUCAUGAAAUUCCACGGUUCAAGACCUUUAGGAAAGGACCUCAGAGUCACUGGUCGCAAGGAGUACACAAUCAAAGAAAGAGUAGGUCAUUCAACAAAGUCGAUGCAUAUUUUAGUCCUGUCACUUUACUUUCUUGGAGUUACUCGUGAGUAUUUUUUGUCAUUUCUGAAUUAUUUUGUACUACUAGUAUGUAGCACAUUCACGAGUCAUGAAUGAUCUGCAUGUUACUCUGGUUGCUCCUACAUCUUUUUAUUUGUGUUAGAUCUAUUAACACAGAAAUGAUGCAACAAUACACCAGCUAACACUGCAGUGGCACUGAUAACAUCAUAUGCAAGUACAUUCUCUGUUUCAUGUUGAUGUGGCAACUUCUGAUGAUGUUUACCAGCAACGGUCUGUUUCCCUCCCUAAGUUAAUGAUUAUAUACCAUGGAUUUGUACCUUUGUCCCUGUAACUCACUUCUUAUUAGGUACCUGAUCAAAAAAAAGUUGGUACUUAGACAAGCACUUCUCUUUUGCAGGUAAAAAGGACAAGGCGAGGUUCUGCAACUUCUUCCAUGAGGACCAUUAUGUGCACCCGGACGAAAUCUUUGAAGCUAUCUUUGGCACUCAUCGUGGUUUUACUUGGUCCCAUAUAUCAUGGGACGAUUUUCGCUUCAGAGACAGAUCAUUCAGAUUUAGAUGGAGUGGUGGUGAAUCACAGAGAGAGAGAAUUCCAAGUGACAGCGAAGAUGAAAGCGAGGAGGAUAGCAGGGAAACAACCAGCGUUGGUUCACAUGCCCACAGGGUCAUCCUUGGAUUACCACCAUGUGGUCCACUAACUCUAGAAGAUGUUAAAACUGCGUAAGUUGUCCUGUUGUUAUGGUUCUUCAAAUUGUUGCAUGUUUUGCUGUUAUUGCUAUUUUGUAUGUAUAUAUGUAUAAGAUGUGUCCCACACUAGGGUUCACUUGAAUUACCCUUGUGGCAUGCAGUUUCCGGGCAUCUGCUCUGCGGUGGCACC